AGAGUUUGAUCCUGGCUCAGGAUGAACGCUGGCGGCGUGCCUAAUGCAUGCAAGUCGAGCGACGCAUACCGGAGGGGUAACCCACUGGUAUGACGGAGCGGCGAACGGGUGAGUAACACGUGAGUAACCUGCCCCACAGACCGGGACAGCCCAGGGAAACCUGGAUUAAUACCGGAUACCCUCGGGGGAUCGCAUGAUCUUUCGAGGAAAUGCCUUUGUGCUGUGGGAUGGACUCGCGACUUAUCAGCUAGUUGGUGGGGUAACGGCCUACCAAGGCGUCGACGAGUAGCUGGUCUGAGAGGACGAUCAGCCACACUGGGACUGAGACACGGCCCAGACUCCUACGGGAGGCAGCAGCAGGGAAUCUUGCGCAAUGGGCGAAAGCCUGACGCAGCAACGCCGCGUGGGGGAUGAAGGCCUUCGGGUUGUAAACCCCUUUCAGGAGGGAAGAAAUUGACGGUACCUCCAAAAGAAGCACCGGCCAACUACGUGCCAGCAGCCGCGGUAAUACGUAGGGUGCGAGCGUUAUCCGGAAUCAUUGGGCGUAAAGAGCUCGUAGGCGGUUCAGCAAGUCGGCUGUGAAAUUUCGAGGCUCAACCUCGAAACUGCAAUCAAAACUGCUGUGACUCGAGUCCGGCAGAGGACAAUG
rnacentral:rRNA from 1 species